UACGUAGGGGGCCAGCGUUGCUCGGAAUUACUGGGCGUAAAGGGCGCGUAGGCGGUGCGGUAAGUCACCUGUGAAAUCUCCUGGCUCAACUGGGAGCUUGCAGGCGAAACUGCCGUGCUGGAGUGUGGGAGAGGUGCGUGGAAUUCCUGGUGUAGCGGUGAAAUGCGUAGAUAUCAGGAGGAACACCUGUGGCGAAAGCGGCGCACUGGACCACAACUGACGCUGAGGCGCGAAAGCUAGGGGAGCAAACAGG
rnacentral:rRNA from 1 species